UUUAGAUUCAACGUAGCCAUGGAGUUGAAAAAUGAUCUUGUUUUAAUCAAAUGUUGCCAUGGAGCUGAUUCAGAGAGAGCUUGUGAAAAUGAUCAUCUGAUUAUGUAAAAUUAGAAGGAGAUGAAAAAUGUAAAAGUUGAAUUAAGUUGCCUCCAAGUUUUAAUCAUCUGAUUUGGUUAAUUUUUGUUUCCCUCCAAGUUUUGAUACUCAAUGUGAAAAUGUGAAAAUGUUAAAAUGAAACAAAAAUUUGGGGAAAAACUCACCAAAGCAAACUCUGCUUUUGGUUCGUGAACGUCGUCAGCUCAAUCUCCGUCUUCCUCUUCCUCCAAUUUCUGACCGCCGCUUCUCCGUCACUACCGCCGUCGCCGCUUCUCCGUCACUACCGCCGUCGCCGCUUCUCCGUCAUAUGUGUUGUCUGUAACGGAGACCAAAACCCAAGCUCUCUUCCAACUUUAUAAAAAUCAAAACCCUGAAGUGGAAUUAAUCG
rnacentral:lncRNA from 1 species